UACGGGGGGGGCAAGCGUUGUUCGGAAUUACUGGGCGUAAAGGGCGCGUAGGCGGCCUUCUAAGUCAGACGUGAAAUCCCUCGGCUUAACCGGGGAACUGCGUCUGAUACUGGAGGGCUUGAAUCCGGGAGAGGGAUGUGGAAUUCCAGGUGUAGCGGUGAAAUGCGUAGAUAUCUGGAGGAACACCGGUGGCGAAGGCGGCAUCCUGGACCGGUAUUGACGCUGAGGCGCGAAAGCUAGGGGAGCAAACGGG
rnacentral:rRNA from 1 species